UACGUAGGGUGCGAGCGUUGUCCGGAAUUAUUGGGCGUAAAGAGCUUGUAGGCGGUCUGUCGCGUCUGCUGUGAAAAUCCGGGGCUCAACCCCGGACUUGCAGUGGGUACGGGCAGACUAGAGUGUGGUAGGGGAGACUGGAAUUCCUGGUGUAGCGGUGAAAUGCGCAGAUAUCAGGAGGAACACCUGCGGCGAAGGCGGGUUGCUGGGCCGACACUGACGCUGAUGCGCGAAAGCCAGGGGAGCGAACGGG
rnacentral:rRNA from 1 species